UGAGGAAUAUUGGACAAUGGGCGCAAGCCUGAUCCAGCCAUGCCGCGUGCAGGAUGACGGUCCUAUGGAUUGUAAACUGCUUUUAUACAGGAAGAAACACCUCUACGUGUAGAGACUUGACGGUACUGUAAGAAUAAGGAUCGGCUAACUCCGUG
rnacentral:rRNA from 1 species